rnacentral:piRNA from 1 species
UGCUAUAUUCACCAGGGCCCAUAGUCCUU